rnacentral:ncRNA from 2 species
UUAACUUCGCACCAGAUUGGUGGCUGUAGAACUAUCGUUGUAUGGCCUUAAAAGGGAAGCAGGUGUGAGUCCUGCGCUGUUCCCGCAACUGUCAUCUUCUUAAAAAGGGUUAGCCAACACCUUAGCCACUGUGCCGCGCACGCUGCAUGGGAAGGCGCGCUAACUGAAGAGAGCCAGGAGACCUGCCAGUCCGACACCAGAUUU